rnacentral:rRNA from 1 species
AUUAGAUACCCUAUUAUUUUUAUUGUAAAAAGAUCUAGGCCUGAGUAUUAAUUGGUAUAUUCUUUAAACUUAAAGAAUUUGGCGGUAUUAUAGUCUAUUUAGAGGAAUCUGUUAUUUAAUCGAUAAUCCGCGUUGAACCUUACUUAUAUUAAUUUCUUGUAUACCGCUGUUUAAGAAUAUAUUUUUAGAUUAUUUUCUGGAUUACUAUAUUACUAUAUUGUAAAUAUUUCAAGUCAAGGUGCAGUAUUUAUAAGUUUAAUAAUGGAUUACAAUAAUUUUUAUUUAUAUGGAUGUUUAUUGUAAUAUAGAUUGAAGGUGGAUUUAAUUGUAAAUUUAUUAAGAUUAAUUUUUUGAUUUAUAGCUCUAUAAUAUGCACACAUCGCCCG